AGUUGCCGAGAAGUGUCGUUGAGUUCAUGUUUCUAAUUCUGCAAUAAUAUAUUUAUUCAUUUUUUUCAUUUUAAACAGAAAUUCAGUGAGAUUUAUAGUAAUUUGAAGGAGUUACGGCAUAUUUACGAAAUGAUAUUUCGUAAAUUUGGAAUUAAUUAAACUACAAUAAGAGCCAUUUCAUUGUCGUACCAUGUCCAUUUUCUAUAAACAACGCAGAAGCUAUCAAAGAGCAGCGAGUAGAAGUCGUCAGGUUUGUGCAGUAUACGAAUGGCGUGGUAGAACUCGAUUUCUGCCGCGAUAUCUUUAUAUUGGUGAACAUAAUCGUUAUAAAAAUUUGGUGUCCACUCGCAAAAACCAAAAUUUGGUUUUUGAUACUAUACAAUUCUACUCUCUUGAACUAGAGACAAAAUAAUGCUGUUCUAAUGGAAAUGCAAAUUGGUGCCUAGGCAACAGUAUGGACUUGACAUCAUUUAUUGCUGAUACAUGAAGGAUUUCAAUCUUACUGAUUCUGAUGGAUCCUAAAUCAACUGGGUUGUUUGUGCCACUAGAUAUAAAAUUCAUUUGGUCUACUGAGGUAUGAAUGCCAACUGAUACAAGGUUAGUCACUAAACCACAAAUUUUAUGCAUGUGUCAAAUACUGCAUGGAGUAUAUCAAGAUUUAUGAAAAUUGACACAAAGAUUUCCCAAUAGUUUAUACAUUUUUGAAAAGAUAAGUUUAUUGCUUAUAUUAACAUCUUGUUGUACAAUUUAUUUGUCA